rnacentral:tRNA from 1 species
UUGGGCAUAGCUAAGGGGUAAAGCACUUGCCUAGCAUGCAUGAGGCCCUGGAUUCAAUCCCUAGUACCAAAA